rnacentral:rRNA from 1 species
AGAGGAUGUUUCGGGCGCGGCGUCGGUCUAAGUCUCUUGGAACGGGGCGUCAUAGAGGGUGAGAAUCCCGUAUGUGACCGAUGACCGAGCCCAUGUGAAACCCCUUCGACGAGUCGAGUUGUUUGGGAAUGCAGCUCAAAAUGGGUGGUAAAUUUCAUCUAAAGCUAAAUACUGGCCAGAGACCGAUAGCGCACAAGUAGAGUGAUCGAAAGAUGAAAAGCACUUUGGAAAGAGAGUCAAAAAGUACGUGAAAUUGUUGAAAGGGAAGCGCUUGCAACCAGACCUGCCCGCGGGCGAUCAGCCGUCCUUCUGGGCGGUGUACUCGCCCGCGAUCAGGCCAGCAUCGGUUCGGGCGGCCGGAUAAAGGCCCUGGGAAUGUAGCUCCCUUCGGGGAGUGUUAUAGCCCUCGGUGUCAUGCGGCCAGCCUGGACCGAGGACCGCGCUUCGGCUAGGAUGCUGGCGUAAUGGUUGUAAGCGGCCCGUCUUGAAACACGGACCAAGGAGUCUAACAUCUAUGCGAGUGUUUGGGUGUCAAACCCAUACGCGUAAUGAAAGUGAACGGAGGUGGGAACCCGUUAGGGCGCACCAUCGACCGAUCCAGAUGUCUUCGGAUGGAUUUGAGUACGAGCAUAGCUGUUGGGACCCGAAAGAUGGUGAACUAUGCCUGAAUAGGGUGAAGCCAGAGGAAACUCUGGUGGAGGCUCGCAGCGGUUCUGACGUGCAAAUCGAUCGUCAAAUUUGGGUAUAGGGGCGAAAGACUAAUCGAACCAUCUAGU